GCCUCGGUGGUGGAGUGGUCAAGACGCUCAUCUGGUAAACAGGAAAGCUUGGGUUCAAUCCCAGCCGAGGUA
rfam:Asian citrus Psyllid, Diaphorina citri - Florida Strain, whole genome shotgun sequence.